rnacentral:rRNA from 1 species
GUCAGGCGGGGCCACCCGCCGAGUUUAAGCAUAUAAAUAAGCGGAGGAGAAGAAACUUACGAGGAUUCCCCUAGUAACGGCGAGCGAACCGGGAUCAGCCCAGCUUGAGAAUCGGGCGGCCGUGCCGUCCGAAUUGUAGUCUGGAGAAGCGUCCUCAGCGACGGACCGGGCCCAAGUCCCCUGGAAAGGGGCGCCGGGGAGGGUGAGAGCCCCGUCCG